rnacentral:rRNA from 1 species
UAACUUCGGAAAGGCAGUGGAAACUGAACAGCUAGAGUAUGGUAGGGGCAGAGGGAAUUCCUGGUGUAGCGGUGAAAUGCGUAGAGAUCAGGAAGAACAUCGGUGGCGAAGGCGCUCUGCUGGACCAUAACUGACACUCAGGGACGAAAGCUAGGGGAGCG